GACGAACGCUGGCGGCGUGCUUAACACAUGCAAGUCGAACGGAAAGGCCCUGCUUUUGUGGGGUGCUCGAGUGGCGAACGGGUGAGUAACACGUGAGUAACCUGCCCUUGACUUUGGGAUAACUUCAGGAAACUGGGGCUAAUACCGGAUAGGAGCUCCUGCUGCAUGGUGGGGGAUGGAAAGUUUCGGCGGUUGUGGAUGGACUCGAGGCUUAUCAGCUUGUUGGGGGGGUAGGGGCUGACCAAGGCUUUGACGGGUAGCCGGCCUGGGAGGGUGGCCGGCCACCUUGGGCCUGAGAGACGGCCCAGUCUCCUACGGGAGGCAGCAGUGGGGAGUAUUGCACAAUGGGCGGAAGCCUGAUGCGGCGGCGCCGCGUUCGUGAUGCCGGCCUUCGGGUUGUAAACCGCUUUCGCCUGUGACGAAGCGUGAGUGACGGUAAUGGGUAAAGAAGCACCGGCUAACUACGUG
rnacentral:rRNA from 1 species